rnacentral:rRNA from 1 species
AUACGGAGGGUGCAAGCGUUAAUCGGAAUUACUGGGCGUAAAGCGUGCGUAGGCGGUUUGUUAAGUCAGGAGUGAAAGCCCUGGGCUCAACCUGGGAACGGCUUUUGAGACUGGCAGACUCGAGUUGAGUAGAGGGGAGUGGAAUUUCCGGUGUAGCGGUGAAAUGCGUAGAGAUCGGAAGGAACACCAGUGGCGAAGGCGACUCCCUGGACUCAAACUGACGCUGAGGUACGAAAGCGUGGGUAGCAAACAGGAUUAGAUACCCUAGUAGUCC